rnacentral:rRNA from 1 species
UACAGAGGGGGGCAAGCGUUUGUUCGGAAUUACUGGGCGUAAAGGGCGCGUAGGCGGCCUUCUAAGUCGAACGUGAAAUCCCCGGGCUCAACCCGGGAACUGCGUCCGAUACUGGAAGGCUUGAAUCCGGGAGAGGGAUGCGGAAUUCCAGGUGUAGCGGUGAAAUGCGUAGAUAUCUGGAGGAACACCGGGUGGCGAAGGCGGCAUCCUGGACCAACACUGACGCUGAGGAGCGAAAGCCAGGGGAGCAAAGCGGG